CAGUCGCCGCGGUAAAACGAGGGGGGCAAGCGUUGUUCGGAAUUAUUGGGCGUAAAGGGUGCGUAGGCGGUUUCGUAAGUCUUAUGUGAAAUCUAUGGGCUCAACCCAUAGUCUGCAUGGGAAACUGCGAGGCUUGAGGAUGGGAGAGGUGAGUGGAAUUUCCGGUGUAGCGGUGAAAUGCGUAGAUAUCGGAAGGAACACCUGUGGCGAAAGCGGCUCACUGGACCAUUUCUGACGCUGAUGCACGAAAGCUAGGGGAGCAAACAGGAUUAGAUACCCCCGUAGUCCCUGUCUCUUAUAC
rnacentral:rRNA from 1 species